CAGCUCCGAUUCGACCCCUGGCCUGGGAACCUCCAUAUGCUGCGGGAGCGGCCCAAAGAAAUAGCAAAAAAAAAAAAAAAAAAAAAAAAAAGAUAACUUCUUUUUUUGGCUAUGCCCAAGGCAUCUGGAAGUUUCUUUGUCAGGGGUGGAACCCAUGCUACAGCAGUGACCUGAGUCACAGCAGUGACAAUGCCAGAUCCUUAAUCACUAGGCUACCAGGGAACUCUAUAGGAUGACUUCUAAUGGCAGCAAAAUAUUCCUUUGUAUGUAUGCAACAUAAUGCCGGGUUGUUGAUCUUCACUUAAUAUUCUUAAAACAAAUAGCUACAUCUUUGGUAUAUCUCAUUAUUUUAUAGUAGGCAGUUUUUUAUAUGUCUUUAAUAUAAAAUUGCUAGAUAAAGACAUUGCUUGUUUAAAGAUAUACUUAAAUAGCUGGGUUUAAACGAUUUUUUUUUUUUUUUUUGCCUUUUUAGCUAUUUCUUGGGCUGCUCCCGCGGCAUAUGGAGGUUCCCAGGCUAGGGGUCGAAUCGGAGCUGUAGCCACCGGCCUACACCAGAGUCACAGCAACGCGGGAUCCGAGCCGCGUCUGCAACCUACACCACAGCUCACGGCAACGCCGGAUCGUCAACCCACUGAGCAAGGCCAGGGAUGGAACCCACAACCUCAUGGUUCCUAGUUGGAUUCGUUAACCACUGCGCCACAACGGGAACUCCAAAUGAUUUUUAAAAUAGAACAGGAAGAUACAAGAAAUCUUUAUGUGUAUCAGAAUUUCACUAUCUCAGAUUUACCUAUGUUCAUCUAUGCAACAGAUACCUGAAUAGUUGCCUUCAAGAAAGAGGGAGAGCAAAUACCCAUGAUAAAGUGUAGUGUAUAUUGUAACAGAGGGUGUGGAUGGGAGCUGAGGAACAAGGAUGGGGGCACACAUGAAGUGUGACCACAGAAGGCUUCCCAGAAGAAGAGGUGAUGCUUAAACUUACUCUAGAAGCUGAAUGGGUCUGAGACUCUUUGGGGUUAUAGGGCAGGGAGAGCAGAGGGAAGCCAAAGAGCAAGGCAGUGCUGUAGGAAAUAAGCAUUAAAGCAUGUCACUGGAACUUUUAAAACCCUGAUUUCUUCUGGUAAAUGUAAAAAGUCUCCCACACUCUCUUUAGAAUUCCCACAAGACAUCAACCCCCCACCCCCCCACCCCCAGAAAUCUGUGCAUCCUCACAAUCAAGAAAUCUUGGAGGGGAGUUCCAGUUGUGGCUCAGCCAGUCACCAAAGCAACUAGGACCCAUAAGGAUGCAGGUUCGAUCCCUGGCCUUGCUUAGUGGGUUAAGGAUCCAGCUUUGUCGUGAGCUACAGUGUAGGCCACAGAUGUGGCUCGGAUAUGCUGUGGCUGUGGCUGUGGCGUAGACCCGCAGCUGCAGCUCCAAUUUGACCCCUAGCCUGAGAACUUCCAUAUGCCAUAGCUGUGGCCCUAAAAAGAAAAGGAGGGAGGAAGGAAAGAAGGAAACUUGAAGGAAGUUCCUUGGUGGCUCAUCACUUUAAGGAUACAGUGUUGUCACUGCUGUGGCUUGGGUUCAAUCCCUGGCCCCAGAACUUCUACAUGCUGUGGGUGCAGACAAAAGUUUGGAAAUAGCUUUUCUUUCAGUGUUUUAGUUCAAAUGUUCUCUUUUGCAUUACUCUGCUUUCAGAAAUGUGAUUGGUACAGUAGGGGCUGGCCUGUAACUCAAGUAGAAAGUGCUUAGAGGUGCUGCUUGUUGCAAACCAUCCUGAUGAGAAAGCUCUGUGUGCAGCCCCAGUCUCCCAAGCAUAUUUCCCCUUAAGAAAGUGUGAAUCUGUUAUUUGAUUGGAACUGAGUGCAAAAAGAAGUUGCUUGACAACAUAUUGGUUGGUUUUAAUCUAAAGCCAAAUUUACAUUAAUUUUUAUCACAGUUCCAGUCAGAUUAGGAACUCAGAUCACAGUUGGAUUACAUCAACGAAGAAGACACGUACUUUUUCUUUACCACCCUCCUAAAGCCGUGGUUUUGCCUCUGCAAGGUAUUUAGCAAUAUCUGGAGGCAUUUUUGGUGAUCACACCUUGUGGUGGAGUGCCACUGACACCUAGUGAGUACAAGCCAAAGAUGCUUCUGAAUGUCCUCCAUACACAGAAUUGUACCCACCCCCCAAGCACCACACACAAACACACACACACACAAAAGUAUCCAGCUUCAAAUGUCAGUAAUGCCCAGGCUGAGAAACCUUACAGUAGAGCCAAGGAGUUUCCAUAGAUAGCUCCACUGGUAAUACAGCCCAGAUUAAAAAGCACUGAGUCAGUUUCUUUACACUAAUAUAUUUUUUUAAUUAAAGUGUAGUUGAUCUACAUUAUUGGGCUAAUUUCUGCUGUACAGCAAAGUGAUUUAGUUAUAUGCAUAUAUAUACAUUCUCUUUUUUUAAUUUAUUUUUGUCUUUUUAGAGCUACACCCUGGCAUAUGGAGGUUCCCAGGCCAGGGGUUGAAUCGGAGCUGCUAGCCUACACCACAGUCACAGUAACUCAGGAUCCGAUCCACUACAGCUCUUGGCAAUGCCCACUGAGCAGGGCCAGGAAGCAAACCUGCAUCCUCAUGAAUACUAGUCAGGUUUGUUAGCCACUGAGCCAUGACAGGAAUUCCCUACAUUCUUUUUCUUAAUUUUCCUUUUCAUUACGGAAAUUUCAUUUAUCCCAGAAGAUUGGCUACAGUUCUGUUUUUAUGCUAGCAUUGAAUAGAAGGUAGGGGUCUAAUCAGAGCUACAGCUGCCCACCUAUACCACAGCCACAGCAAUGUCAGAUCUAAGCCGCAUCUGUGACCUACACCACAGCUCAUGGCAAUGCAGGAUUCUUAACCCACUGAGCCAGGCCAGGGAUCAAACCUGCAUCUUCAUGGAUACUAGUUGGGUUCAUCACCACUGAGCAUGAUGGGAAUUCCAAUUUCUACUACUUGAAGUCGAGAAUUUCCAUAGAGUUAGGUUACUCCAGGUGUGUGACCGAGGAGACCCAGAAGAAUAACCUUGAGAUUGGUUGGCCAGUGUUAUAAAUUUGAUAUAUAAGUAUUGUAUAAUGCCACCUGUAUGAGGUAUCCAGAGGGUCAAAUUCAUAGAGACAGAUAGUAGAAUGGUGACUGUUGGACUGUGGGGAGGAGGGGAUGGUGAGUUAUUGUUUAAUGGGCA
rnacentral:lncRNA from 1 species